rnacentral:rRNA from 1 species
AUUGAACGCUGGCGGCAUGACCUUACACAUGCAAGUCGAACGGCAGCACGGGAGCAAUCCUGGUGGCGAGUGGCGAACGGGUGAGUAAUAUAUCGGAACGUGCCCAGUCGUGGGGGAUAACGUAGCGAAAGCUACGCUAAUACCGCAUACGAUCUACGGAUGAAANCGGGGGGAUCGCAAGACCUCGCGCGAUUGGAGCGGCCGAUAUCAGAUUAGGUAGUUGGUGAGGUAAAGGCUCACCAAGCCGACGAUCUGUAGCUGGUCUGAGAGGACGACCAGCCACACUGGGACUGAGACACGGCCCAGACUCCUACGGGAGGCAGCAGUGGGGAAUUUUGGACAAUGGGCGCAAGCCUGAUCCAGCAAUGCCGCGUGCAGGAUGAAGGCCUUCGGGUUGUAAACUGCUUUUGUACGGAACGAAACGGUGAGCUCUAAUACAGUUUGCUAAUGACGGUACCGUAAGAAUAAGCACCGGCUAACUACGUG